CCCGCUGAACUUAAGCAUAUCAGUAAGCGGAGGAAAAGAAACCAACAGGGAUUCCCUUAGUAACGGCGAGUGAAGCGGGAAUAGCACAAAUUUAAAAUCGGGUCGAACAAAAGAGUAUCGGUCCCGACGUGUAAUUUGAAGAGUCAUCGGCGGCAGAGGCCCAGGCUUAAAGUCCUCUGGAAAGGGGCACCAAGGAGGGUGAUAGUCCCGUUAAUAGCCUGCGAUUAGUCUACUGUCCAACUAAGCGAUGAACUCGAAAGAGUCGGGUUGUUUGGGAGUGCAGCCCUAAAUGGGUGGUAAAUUCCAUCUAAGGCUAAAUAUACGCGAGAGACCGAUAGCGAACAAGUACCGUGAGGGAAAGUUGAAAAGUACUCUGAAGAGAGGGUCAAACAGUGCGUGAAAUUGCUAACAGGGAAACGUUGGGCACCAGUGCACAUUUGAGUAGAAUCAGCCGUUGGGGAUAGUGUAGCUUGACUUGGAAGGCGGAGCUGUUAAGGCCUGCCCUGGGUUAAGGAACGUAUACUAGUCAAUGGUGCAAUUUUACGACAAGUGGGUCAACUUUGGUUAAGGAGAGUGAUAGACUAAGGGAUAGGAAGGUAGGACAAUCGUUAGUGAGUGGUGUGGUUAACACACUGCACACUAUGAUGUCUGUUAUAGCCUAACCAAGUUACAUGAUUCUUAUGACCAAGGAAAUAAGUGCGCGGACCGUGUCUAACACACUUGUGUGUAAGGCAGGGAAGUGAUAAGGGAUGAGUAUUUGACUUUAAUUGACAGCAUAGCUGACAAAGAGAGUUAUAAAAAUCAGACUUUGUUACUGACCCUAACGGACCAAGGACAGUUGACAAAAUGGAUGCUUAACGACCCGUCUUGAAACACGG
rnacentral:rRNA from 1 species